UCGAGCGGAACGCCUAACCCUGCCGCCGCCCCGAGGUCCGUACGAACCGCCGGCAGGGGCGGGGGACCCACGUUUUGUGGUCCACCGGAGACGGUGACCUUGGGGUGAAGCCCAGGUGGCAGCAGGACCGCCGCCCAGGCCGAGUGUUCUCCCACUCGAACCCGACAGCUCACCUCGCAGGCGACAGGAGAGGCACC
rnacentral:sRNA from 2 species